AACUGAUGGGGGGGCAGAUUUUAAAACUGAUAUAUCAUACUUAAAUAUAAAAGCAUUUUUACAUGAAUUUUUUAAUAUUCCCAUUUAAAAUUUUAAAUAACAUUUGAUUCUUUUAUGUUUAGCUUUUUUUUUUAUAAUGCUUCAGCCCUUCCAAAGUUGAAUUAUCAGUGCUAGAAAUGACACCAUAAUUCUGUCCCUUAUUUCCUUCACCACCCUCCUUUGGAGACCAAAUUAUUGUAGUAGCAGAAGUUGCUAUUUAAGUUAAAAUCAAGUCCUCACCAAUGGAAUAACUAGAUUUCAAUUUUAUAAAAAUGCUUUCCUUUUGUUUACCCUAGAGUAGAAGCAUACACCUUUAAGGAAUUAAAGUGGUAAAGUCUAGGCUACUAUUUUUCCUGUCACCACAUUGCUGGUGUUUAUUGUUUUUUAAUAAAAAAUCAAGUUUCUGUACUUAAUGACUUGGAAGAUGCAUUACAUUUUGUCAAAAUGUAAGAAUUUAUGAAGAAUAAAGAGCUUCUGUAAUCCCCAAAAGAUCAAGAAGGGGAUGUGUAUAAUUUUGCUGCUAAACACAUAUAUAAGAAUUAAUAUUUAUAAUUGAGUUUAGUAUUUUGUAUUUACACUUCUGUCAACAUAUAUUAUAGUGUAGUGUUUAGAGACUAUUAAACAGCUCAGAAUUUACUCACAGAAGAAGAAAAUUUCUUUUAGUUUUUUUCCUCUUUUACUUGAAUUUUCCCCAGGUUGUUUGAUAAAGAGCAGACAAAUGUCUUGCUGAUGAGGGUAUUUACCUUGUACAAAGCCCUGUAUGGUGUGUGUGGAAGUAAUGCAAAGAGCUGACAAGUUGCUGAAUGGUCACUGCCACCUACUAAUGUAAUGCACAAACAAUUAAUGCUAAGGUAACAGAGGUAACUGUGACAGAGAAAAUCAAAGCCAUUUGCAGAUGUGGCCCUUGAUACUUAAUUAUUAGAAUGUUCAUAAAAUAUAUCAGGCUGGCUGGCUUAAAUAAUAAUGUGCCCUGACAUUUAAAAUUCAUAGAAAUGUUAGAUAAAUGCAUUUUUGUCUGACUGGAGGAUUCAUUUUUUAUUAAAAUACCUACAAAAACAAAAUAUAACAAUUCUAGAAACUAAUUUUUUAAAGAAAUACUUGAUUAGUAGAAAAUGUUUCUCUAACCAAGUAAGUCAUCUCCUGCUCUUUUAAAUAGCUUUAUUUAGAAUACUUCUAAGAGCACUUUUUUCCUAUAUUAAAUAAAUGUCAUAUUAUGCACUUUAUUGUAACCUUUUUAAGGGGAUAUUUCAUCAAGACACAAGACAGUGUUGUUGCUGUUGGGUGCCAUUAACUCUGUUUAAUUCACAAGUGAGUUGUGAUUUUAAACAUCUCUUAUGGUGUUUUUAAAGGUGAUCUUGCAUAACAUGUAGUGAGUAAUAUCUUUUGAGUGGAAUAUACCUGUUGGCUUUUCCUUAUUUGAUAUAUAUUGUGACUUGGAGAGAAAAUUAUACAUAGAGUGAAUCAAAGAUUCCAGGAACUGAGGAGUAUUAAAAUAAGACAUACAUUUCUUGCAUGCAAACAGUACAAAGCAGAGAAAUGGAUCGGCCUGUUUUCUGAAAAAGGGAGUCAUCAAUAAUAAUCUGAGAUUUUAAAACAUAGUUUUGUCAUAUCUUUUUUGACUCUGUACUGCUUCAGCCACACAGGGGAUCAGUGUGCACAAACGCUUAUGCUGUAUGGGAAUCAGCCUUAGAAUAAGCGUGGAUGAGAAUAAAAAAAUAUACUUAAAGAAGACAUUGGUAUAGGAUCUCUCCCACCUUUUUCCCCUUGAGGAAAUAGCGAUGGCAGCUAUUCAGGUACCCCCCACACCUCUAGUCGUCUUUACUCAUUGAAGAAUCGUUAGACAACCGGUAACUGAGCAGUUAGCAUUACCCACUUGGGAUUUUGUGUUUGCAAUUUAGUUUUCAGUCUCAUUCCUGACUACUGCAGUGGUAUGGCCUUUAGACAACUAGACUUUCAAAAGUCAAAAGGCAGUAAGUCAGUCCCCUGGAAACAAUGCAGAAACAGAUUCAAAUCAUAAAUAAGGAAAUGCAUUGAGUACAUUAAACAGACAUAGAAAAAUGGAUUUCUGUCUUUUGUAGUAAGGUAAUUGGGCACCACUGCUUGGCAGGAGCUGGUGCUGUCGAGCCAGCUAUAGCUGCCACAGGUUGAUAGGCAAGUGAUAAGGCAGCUUCCACCAGAGUCUGCACAGGAGGCCUACCUAAUAUGCUGUCUGCCCUAAGGGCCUAUGGGAACACAGUUGGAUUAUUAUGUUAAUGCAUGAGCCUGCUGCCCUCUUCCUAUCCCAGCUGGGUUCCCUGUUGUUAGGAACUGUUUUGCACUGACAGUGGAGUAAUAUGCUUCAUGAUUGAAAGGGCAAAAGGGCUUGGAAUACAAAAAAAAAGAACAGACCUGCACAGAUAUGUAAAUGAAGGAAGGAAAUCUGUAGGAAGAUUUCACUCUGAUUAUAGAGGAAAAGUUUAUUAGAAAGUUGUAAUGUAAAACUUCUCAUAGCACUCUGAAAAAUCAUUCAUUUCUUAAUUAAUUUCUGGGCUGGCUUUCUUUCCUAACACAGGUAUUCAGUGCAAGGAAGUGUUUUCCAAGACAGGCACUUAGACUGAUUUGUUUCAAAGUAACUUGUGUGAACACGUUGGUACCCAGGUAUAGUACUGAUAGCAGAGCAUUUUUUAGCACCUUCAUAACUUUUUUAUACCUUGCCCUCAGUUAUUCCACUGUGUUUUAUGUGAAAGUUAUUUUCUAUGAUGCUGAAGGACUUAUAUUUUGUAUUAAAAAAACACUUCAUUUCCCUUUUUUUUUUUUUGAUGAAGAUCUAGAAAAUUGCAUGGACCUAUCUUUUGGAAAAAAUGAAGAGUGGAGCGUUUUAUAAUAUUCUUUUUAAAGACUGCUUCGUAUUCUCAUAUGUGGAUGUGCAAUGAUUUAUUUCAGCCUUGGAUAUUUCCAACUUUUUUGUUAUAAAAAAUAAUGUUAUGGUGAAGAUCCUUUUAGGUAAGUCUUUUCUUGGAUCCAUUUUAUUUUCUUAGGUAAAAUUUUAGAAGUGGAAUCGCUGGGUCAAGGAGUAUAUAUGGGCAUUUUUAAGGAUUUAAUACUUACUGCAACACUUCCAGCAAAGUUUAAAUCAGGGUUCGAACCGGUUUGUUCUGGUUUGAACCCUGCUGAGAAUUUGCCUUUCUACCCCAGAUAUACUGAAUCAGAAUCUACGUUUUAACAAAAUCCUCAGGUGAUUGUUCCAUAUAACUUCCUGGGAACUGGAAUGCAAAUUCUCAGCAGGGAACUUGUUGGAAGUGCAAAUUCUCAGCAGGGGUUCGAAGCCGCGGUUUAAAGGGCAUGAAUGUACUUUUCCCCUGAAUUCUCAUUAAUCAUAAACAUUAUAAUUUUUCAAAAUCUUAGCUCAUUGUAUAUUUUCUUCCCACACUACUUUUGUUUUCUACUGUCACCACAAGUUAAUCCAUGUUAUAAAGAUGAUCAGUCUACAUAAUAUUUUAUAGAAAUGUGUAUUUGAUAAAUAUUUUUAUUUCACACUCUAAAAUCUAGAGGACAACAUUUAAGAAGUUGCUCUGCUUCUUUAUUUUACUUUAACCAAGAGAAAUACACAUUGUAGUUGCUGAAUGUGUUGUUUAACUAGAUCUCUAUCCAUGUUAUAAAUGAUGCCUGUAGAAGGAUCUGGGGAAAAGAUCCUUAAGGUUUUUUUUUAAUCACAGUUCAGAUCUUGGAGAAUCUGAACUUAUAUAAGAAUGUUUGGGCUACUGUUAUUACACUGAAACCUUCUGAGAGUAUCUUCUCGUGUGUUUUUUUUUUUUUAAAGAAAGUCACUUAUAGAUAGAUAUAAAGUGUUUGACCAGAAGAAAGCCUCAGGUUGUCAGAGUUACUUAUACACCGUUGUUCAGCUGGGCCUCUUUAUUAAAUCAUUUCUUGGCAGUCCAUUAGUUGUGGUGCUAUAGCUAUUGCAUGGCCCACUAAGCUAAAAUACCUUCAAU